UUUGCCACCAGCCUACAAGCAUCAGAACGAACAGCAGACCUGUUACCCCAGGGGGGACUGGACACCUCUCGAAGCAUGACGGGUAAUUUUUCCGGUCUGAACCGCAGCGGGCUCAUUUGAGCUGUCGGCGGCCGCCCGGAGCGGUCGUGCGGGGAGCUCGAAAUACGCAUUCAAUAUGGCUGCGGUACUAUCUUCGCGGCCUUCCAGUACUGUUUUCGUCACCAGGAACGCGAUUACGGGCCAUGUACUUGUCCCCAGAAGACAUCAGACUGGGUCUUGCAAGGCUUUUGUCAGUCCUUCCUUACCUUACAUCUUCAGAACCUUCUCCAGAGAGACAUUGUAAGGGCUGUUGUGAUAGCUGUCUGUGCCUUAUGCUGGCAACACAAGGCUGUAUUUGUAUGUUCCAAGCAAAGGAAUUAUUUCUUGAGCAACCAACAGAGCUGGACACUGCAUUACUUAUAAAUACAGGUUUAUCGACAGCUUAUGAUACCGCAUACAUUAUAUAAUGUUAAUAUGCUUUGCAUAAGUCAUUUUAAAAUGAAUGGAAAUAUAUUGUCCAUAAGUUAGUAAACUUAACCGUGUGCACUUAUUCUUGAUUAUACAUCACGAUGCAUUAUGUAUAUCACUAUAAUGUGUACAAAUUUGGAUAUAGAUGUGAUGUGUGCACGGAACUGUUGAAACAAUAUUUGAUUUCAGUUGAUAGAUGCACUGAUACUCAUAGUAAAGGAUCAUCACUUACUUAAUCAUGAGCUCAGCUUGAACCAAUCCUGUGAGAUUCCUCCACCGCAAUUUAUCCUCCUUGAUCCUUUGCAACUCUUUACUACAAAUGUAUCUUAAUCUACUCUGUAUUUGAUCAGAUGUAUUGUUGUACAACACUCUAUAUUUAUGGCUAAUGCCGCUGUAAUUCUAUUAUUAUUGUCUUACCUUUGUAAAUGAUGUCAAUGGUUGGCAUAGUAUUUGAUAAAUGCUAUGUAUGGAGAAGUCUACAUUAUCUUUUCGUUGCAGAGUAUAAUGUUUAUUCCAACCAAUACUAAGUAUUUGAUAUCAAAUAAAUAAAUCAUUAAUCAGA